rnacentral:rRNA from 1 species
UACGAAGGGGGCUAGCGUUGUUCGGAAUCACUGGGCGCAAAGCGCACGUAGGCGGAUCUUUAAGUCAGAGGUGAAAUCCCAAGGCUCAACCUUGGAACUGCCUUUGAUACUGGGGAUCUUGAGUCCGGGAGAGGUGAGUGGAACUGCGAGUGUAGAGGUGAAAUUCGUAGAUAUUCGCAAGAACACCAGUGGCGAAGGCGGCUCACUGGCCCGGUACUGACGCUGAGGUGCGAAAGCGUGGGGAGCAAACAGG